rnacentral:ncRNA from 1 species
GUAAGUCGUUGGUGCAUUCUGCAUCGGUUGCGACGCUAGGGAGUAAUCCCUAGAAAAAUAAAAUUGGCUAUAUGCUGGAAACACUGAGAAUCCUGGGCUACAGCUUGAUAUAAUCAGGUUGUGACAAUGCUACAGGUGCAGAAAAUCAGCAGGGAAGUCCUCUGUCUGUCUGAAAACAGACAUGACCCCUCAGAGACUACACGCCGAUCGCCUUUGAUAGUUUGGGAUUUAUCCUGAGCUUGUCGAAGGAUGAUGAUAUAGUCCAUGCCUUAUGGCGACAUAGGG